rnacentral:lncRNA from 1 species
GGAACUCAUAAUCAAUGAUGUAAUCAUAGUUACCUACCGAAGCUGCCAUUCGUACCACUAACGUCACCUUUGGUCUCACUUCCUUUAUCUAUUUAAUCAAAAUGUAACUUAUCUUAAGUGUAAGUAACACCAUCAAGUUUUUUAAUUGAAUCAUUAUAACCAUAAAUUAUUUCUACGUAAAUUUUGAAUUAUAAACAGCUAAGCAAAUGGACUAACCGGUAAACCGCUGAUGGGGCUUUCCGAGUGACGCCAACCAAUAUCUCCGGCGUAACGCUCGAAGAUACAAA